AAGGAUUGUUCUGUACGAAUUAUCUGAAAUAAAAAGAAGGCUUGAUGAACAGAAAAACUACAACCAAGAAAAUGGAAACUCUGAAGACGCAAGCUCCUCUGGAAAAUCCCCUCAAAGAAGCAAUGACGAUAGUGAAAAGACAAGAUCAGAGGACAAUGCAAAUGACAUGAUUCUCAAGUCCUUCAUUAAUAAAAAAAGAAAGAAAAAUUAGUCUUAUCUUGUUGUGUCUUGAGUCAUAGACUAAGCUUUUAAUAAUUUUCAUUUUGUGCAUGGCUUAUAAAGCCAUUUUUUUGUUAUUCCUUCGUUUGCUUUCCUUGUAUGGUCCUAUCAUUGUAAUAUCUUUUUCAAG
rnacentral:lncRNA from 1 species